rnacentral:rRNA from 1 species
GGGGAUGGGGUCGCGGCCCAUCAGGUAGACGGCGGGGUAACGGCCCACCGUGCCUGCAACGGGUAGCCGGGCUGAGAGGCCGAUCGGCCACAUUGGGACUGAGACACGGCCCAGACUCCUACGGGAGGCAGCAGUGGGGAAUUUUGCGCAAUGGGGGCAACCCUGACGCAGCAACGCCGCGUGCGGGACGAAGUCAUUCGUGACGUAAACCGCUUUCAGCGAGGAAGAACCAUGACGGUACUCGCAGAAGAAGCCCCGGCUAACUACGUGCCAGCAGCCGCGGUAAUACGUAGGGGGCGAGCGUUAUCCGGAAUCAUUGGGCGUAAAGCGCGCGCAGGCGGGCUUUCAAGCGGGGCGUCGAAGCCGGGGGCUCAACCCCCGGAAGCGCCCCGAACUGGAAGCCUCGGAUGCGGCAGGGGGAGGCGGAAUUCCCGGUGUAGCGGUGAAAUGCGCAGAUAUCGGGAAGAACACCGACGGCGAAGGCAGCCUCCUGGGCCGGCAUCGACGCUGAGGCGCGAAAGCUGGGGGAGCGAACAGGAUUAGAUACCCUGGUAGUCCCAGCCGUAAAC